CUCCAGCGCACCCUAGGGACAAGUGGUCUGAGUCUCACUUGUUGCCUGGCACCGCCGCUGUAAUCCGGAUUGUGGUUCUAGGACGCCGCGGGACUUGGAAUCGGGCCGGUGUCGGUCGGGAGGCAAAAGGACUGGCGGUGCCCUAAAGUGAACUCCCGCCCCUUUGAUCAGUGCCAAGUCUUUCACGUGCACGAGAAAUGUUCUCCAAGCCUUGAAUGUACCUGGCCAAACCUAGCGCUCACGCCUUGCUUAGCUAGAGCUCUGCCUUCCCGUUGUCAGCCCCAGAGAAGGCGGAAGUUUUUUGUACGUUUGGUACCAUGUACCUUAUAGCCCCAGGGGUUCUUAGCAUGCUCUCUGCACUAUAAUCUACCCCCUGCGUGCAGUAUAUAGCGAAAACAAUCUUUUGUCAACUUUGUGAUCUCUCAUCCUCAGCUGUACCUGUGAUUCCUCUCCUGCAUGGGGAGUUUUCUAAGAAAUAUGAGGUUAAAACGCAUCCGGCAGCCAGUUCAGAUCUGAAGGGGUUCGAUGUUACUGCACGUCACAGCAAUUAAUGGACCUGCUCCAUCAGAUAAGUGCUUUAUAGUCUCUUAUCUACAACACGGAUAUUCAAAUCUGCGCGGGGAAACGUUGAAAUUUAACAAAAGGAUACACUUCUUUCCUCGGCGUAACGUGACAUUUGAAAAAUAACACAGAGGAAAACCGAAAUAAUAUUUCGGAUCAUUGUUGUCCA